UCCUGGGUAGCUCAGUGGAUUAAGCGUCUGACUUCAGCUCAGGUCACGAUCUCACAGUUUGUGGGUUCGAGCCCCACGUCGGGCU
rnacentral:tRNA from 1 species